rnacentral:lncRNA from 1 species
GUAUCAUUAUUUUUCAGAGCAAUACAGCUCUCUGCUUGAGAACUAGCGAUAUGUUUUACACUGUUGGAGGCUUUCUUGAAUCGAGACGGAUUUGGGCAGAGAGUAUUCUUACCUUAGCUUUUUCCUACUUUGUUUAUUAAAGGGAUUUUCAAAGUUACUUUUGUUUCUUAUGUCAAUAUAAGUUAUUUUCACAGAAGAGAGAAAACAAAAGCUUAUAUUUUUCUUCAGACUUCUGCUGGUGGUCCAGUAACCCGCUAAUUAUUCACGGUAUUCUUUCUCAGCAGAUUAGCUCAUCUGCUAUGCAGAGGAAACUGAUUUUAAUUUCCCUCUCUCCUACCUACAGAACGUGAAAGUCAAGGUAGUAUAUUCCUUCCUGGAAAAAUAAUACGCUGCACAGACUAAGGUAACUGCUCAGAUUUCUAAAAUAGCACCCCUAUACUCAUGAUGAAUGAAUUAUCUUGGGUUUUCCAUAUUUUAGUUUAUUGUAACUUGAAUAAGUUUUAUUUUGACCUGUCACUAUAAAACAGUGAGCAAGCACAUGAUGGGGAAUUUACCUAAUACAACUGCAGUCUCCCGAUGACAUUGGGAAAUAUAUAGCCAUUGAAACGCCAAAAGUAUUUGUAAUUGCCUACUAGACCACUGUGUUCUUGCUUAUAGAGUGGCUCACUGUGGGGGUGGGGCUCUCUCUGGUGCUUGAAAUUUGGGAGGAUAGUCCAUUCUACCACCUCCCAUCAGAACCCAGGCAUCUGAAUUCCACUUGCUGGAUAUUGUCUGGAUUAGAUGCUGUACUGUCAGCAUUCGUAUGUUCAAUGUCAAUUACAGCAUUGACAUGGCAUUGAGAUUCUGUUGCGGCCCCGACUAGUUGGUGCCCCUAUUGGCUGACACUUUGAAUAUAUAGUGUAGUGACUUCUGCAUUAAUUGUAUGCUUUGGGCAAGUUAUUUCAACUUUCUGUGCCUCAGUAACCCCUUUUUUUCAUACUGUUUUAACAUAUUGUUUUACAUUGCUUUUCACAGGGCUGGGCACAU